CGAUCGGUGACAGGUGGUGCAUGGUUGUCGUCAGCUCGUGUCGUGAGGUGUUGGGUUAAGUCCCGCAACGAGCGCAACCCCUAUUGUUAGUUGCCAUCAUUCAGUUGGGCACUCUAGCGAGACUGCCGGUAAUAAACCGGAGGAAGGUGGGGAUGACGUCAAAUCAUCAUGCCCCUUAUGACCUGGGCUACACACGUGCUACAAUGGUUGGUACAACGAGUUGCGAGUCGGUGACGGCGAGCUAAUCUCUUAAAGCCAAUCUCAGUUCGGAUUGUAGGCUGCAACUCGCCUACAUGAAGUCGGAAUCGCUAGUAAUCGCGGAUCAGCACGCCGCGGUGAAUACGUUCCCGGGCCUU
rnacentral:rRNA from 1 species